UCUAUUGUGAUCUCAGUGUGUAUUGUCAGAUUUGGUCUCUUUCUCCUGAGUAGUUGCAGUGGGAGAUUAACAGGGGUCAUGAGGUGAACGAGUCAGAAGCAACAUCCACCCAACUUCAGUUAGGAUUCACUCAGGGACGGAGCCAUACAUGCAUCCAAAGGAGGAUGUCAGGUUGAAUGGAUCACCUACAGAAGAACUGUGGAAGCCUCUCUGAACAGGCCUGGGGAAGUUGAAAAAACGUUAGCCCAGGUACUUAUAGAAUGUUAUCAGGAUACCGC